rnacentral:rRNA from 1 species
UACGUAGGGGGCGAGCGUUGUCCGGAUUUAUUGGGCGUAAAGAGCUCGUAGGCGGUUUGUUGCGUCGGCUGUGAAAUCCCGAGGCUCAACCUCGGGUCUGCAGUCGAUACGAGCAAACUAGAGUGUUGCAGGGGAGACUGGAAUUCCUGGUGUAGCGGUGAAAUGCGCAGAUAUCAGGAGGAACACCGGUGGCGAAGGCGGGUCUCUGGGCAACAACUGACGCUGAGGAGCGACAGCGUGGGGAGCAAACAGG